GAUGAAGAACGUAGCGAAAUGCGAUAAGUAGUGUGAAUUGCAGAAUUCAGUGAAUCAUCGAAUCUUUGAACGCACAUUGCGCCCCAUGGUAUUCCGUGGGGCAUGCCUGUUCGAGCGUCAUUUACCCCCUCAAGCUCCGCUUGGUGUUGGGCGUCUGUCCCGCUUCGCGCGCGGACUCGCCCCAAAGGUAUUGGCAGCGGUCGUGCCAGCUUCUCGCGCAGCACAUUGCGCUUCUCGAGGCACCGGUGGGCCCGCGUCCAUCAAGCUCACCCCCCCAGUUUGACCCCGGAUCAGGUAGGGAUACCCGCUGAACUUAAGCAUAUCAAUAAGCGGAGGA
rnacentral:misc_RNA from 1 species